ACACAUGCAGUCGAGGGGCAUCAGGAAGAAAGCUUGCUUUCUUUGCUGGCGACCGGCGCACGGGUGAGUAACACGUAUCCAACCUGCCCUUUACUCGGGGAUAGCCUUUCGAAAGAAAGAUUAAUACCCGAUAGUAUAAUGAUUCCGCAUGGUUUCAUUAUUAAAGGAUUCCGGUAAAGGAUGGGGAUGCGUUCCAUUAGGUUGUUGGUGAGGUAACGGCUCACCAAGCCUUCGAUGGAUAGGGGUUCUGAGAGGAAGGUCCCCCACAUUGGAACUGAGACACGGUCCAAACUCCUACGGGAGGCAGCAGUGAGGAAUAUUGGUCAAUGGGCGCUAGCCUGAACCAGCCAAGUAGCGUGAAGGAUGAAGGCUCUAUGGGUCGUAAACUUCUUUUAUAUAAGAAUAAAGUGCAGUAUGUAUACUGUUUUGUAUGUAUUAUAUGAAUAAGGAUCGGCUAACUCCGUGCCAGCAGCCGCGGUAAUACGGAGGAUCCGAGCGUUAUCCGGAUUUAUUGGGUUUAAAGGGAGCGUAGGUGGACUGGUAAGUCAGUUGUGAAAGUUUGCGGCUCAACCGUAAAAUUGCAGUUGAUACUGUCAGUCUUGAGUACAGUAGAGGUGGGCGGAAUUCGUGGUGUAGCGGUGAAAUGCUUAGAUAUCACGAAGAACUCCGAUUGCGAAGGCAGCUCACUGGACUGCAACUGACACUGAUGCUCGAAAGUGUGGGUAUCAAACAGGAUUAGAUACCCUGGUAGUCCACACAGUAAACGAUGAAUACUCGCUGUUUGCGAUAUACAGUAAGCGGCCAAGCGAAAGCAUUAAGUAUUCCACCUGGGGAGUACGCCGGCAACGGUGAAACUCAAAGGAAUUGACGGGGGCCCGCACAAGCGGAGGAACAUGUGGUUUAAUUCGAUGAUACGCGAGG
rnacentral:rRNA from 1 species